rfam:Otolemur garnettii contig059571, whole genome shotgun sequence.
AACAUGGUGCCUUUAGGCAUCACCAAAUUUAUUCAAAAAAUUUUCUU